CACAGUUUCAAGUACCCAACACUUGCAUUUGCACCCAUCAGUCUUGCAACAUGUCAAAAGUUCUUCUCCUCUGCUGCAUUCUUUCGCUCCUCUUUGUCAUGAAUCUUGCUGAAGAAGCCCCAAAUGCAGGAGGGUUCGAGGAUUCCAAAGUUACGCUGAAGAAGCCCCAAAUGCAGGAGGGUUCGAGGAUUCCAAAGUUACGCUAAAGCACCUUGGACUCAGAUCAAGCGUAGCGCAAUGUGUUAGAGAUUGCCACGCGAGGUGGCCAAACUCCACAGCGAGUUGUCCCUUUUUACAUGGCCAUAGAUGCGCCUGCCUGUGCUAUGUCCCUUGACUCCCUUCUCUCUAAUUAUUAUUAUCAAUGAUAAUUUCCGUAAGUGAGAAGGCCUAUAUAAUAUAUAUGUGACUUCUCGGUUUU